rnacentral:rRNA from 1 species
GACGAACGCUGGCGGCGUGCCUAAUACAUGCAAGUAGAACGCUGAAGAGAGGAGCUUGCUCUUCUUGGAUGAGUUGCGAACGGGUGAGUAACGCGUAGGUAACCUGCCUUGUAGCGGGGGAUAACUAUUGGAAACGAUAGCUAAUACCGCAUAACAAUGGAUGACACAUGUCAUUUAUUUGAAAGGGGCAAUUGCUCCACUACAAGAUGGACCUGCGUUGUAUUAGCUAGUAGGUGAGGUAAUGGCUCACCUAGGCGACGAUACAUAGCCGACCUGAGAGGGUGAUCGGCCACACUGGGACUGAGACACGGCCCAGACUCCUACGGGAGGCAGCAGUAGGGAAUCUUCGGCAAUGGGGGCAACCCUGACCGAGCAACGCCGCGUGAGUGAAGAAGGUUUUCGGAUCGUAAAGCUCUGUUGUAAGUCAAGAACGGGUGUGAGAGUGGAAAGUUCACGCUGUGACGGUAGCUUACCAGAAAGGGACGGCUAACUACGUGCCAGCAGCCGCGGUAAUACGUAGGUCCCGAGCGUUGUCCGGAUUUAUUGGGCGUAAAGCGAGCGCAGGCGGUUUGAUAAGUCUGAAGUUAAAGGCUGUGGCUCAACCAUAGUUCGCUUUGGAAACUGUCAAACUUGAGUGCAGAAGGGGAGAGUGGAAUUCCAUGUGUAGCGGUGAAAUGCGUAGAUAUAUGGAGGAACACCGGUGGCGAAAGCGGCUCUCUGGUCUGUAACUGACGCUGAGGCUCGAAAGCGUGGGGAGCGAACAGGAUUAGAUACCCUGGUAGUCCACGCCGUAAACGAUGAGUGCUAGGUGUUGGAUCCUUUCCGGGAUUCAGUGCCGCAGCUAACGCAUUAAGCACUCCGCCUGGGGAGUACGACCGCAAGGUUGAAACUCAAAGGAAUUGACGGGGGCCCGCACAAGCGGUGGAGCAUGUGGUUUAAUUCGAAGCAACGCGAAGAACCUUACCAGGUCUUGACAUCCCGAUGCUAUUUCUAGAGAUAGAAAGUUACUUCGGUACAUCGGUGACAGGUGGUGCAUGGUUGUCGUCAGCUCGUGUCGUGAGAUGUUGGGUUAAGUCCCGCAACGAGCGCAACCCCUAUUGUUAGUUGCUAUCAUUAAGUUGGGCACUCUAGCGAGACUGCCGGUAAUAAACCGGAGGAAGGUGGGGAUGACGUCAAAUCAUCAUGCCCCUUAUGACCUGGGCUACACACGUGCUACAAUGGUUGGUACAACGAGUUGCGAGUCGGUGACGGCGAGCUAAUCUCUUAAAGCCAAUCUCAGUUCGGAUUGUAGGCUGCAACUCGCCUACAUGAAGUCGGAAUCGCUAGUAAUCGCGGAUCAGCACGCCGCGGUGAAUACGUUCCCGGGCCU